rnacentral:rRNA from 1 species
GCACGGAGUUAGCCGGAGCUUACAAACAGUACCGUCAUCGUAAGAGAUAUUAACUCUUACUUAUUCUUCCCGUUCUUGCGAAGUUUACAUCCCGAGGGAUUUCAUCCUUCACGCGGCGUUGCUGGGUCAGGCUUUCGCCCAUUGCCCAAAAUUCCCGACUGCUGCCUCCCGUAGGAGUCUGACCCGUAUGUCAGUGUCAGUGUGGCCGACCGCCCUCUCAGGCCGGCUACAGAUCAUCGCCUUGGUAAGCCGUUACCUUACCAACUAGCUAAUCUGCCGCAGGCUCCUCUUCAGACGCGAGGUCUUGCGAUCCCCCGCUUUAACAACUGUCACCAUUAGGUGCCGCUGCAUUAUUCGGUAUUAGCAACCGUUUCCGGUUGUUAUUCCCAAUCCAAAGGUAGAUUACCUACGUGUUACUCACCCGUGCGCCACUCUACUUGCCCCCCGAAGGGAACUUUCGCGUUCGACUUGCAUGUCUGAGGCACGCCGCCAGCGUUGAUU